rnacentral:rRNA from 1 species
AUUGAACGCUGGCGGCAUGCCUUACACAUGCAAGUCGAACGGCAGCGGACCUUCGGGUGCCGGCGAGUGGCGAACGGGUGAGUAAUAUAUCGGAACGUACCUUUCAGUGGGGGAUAACGUAGCGAAAGUUACGCUAAUACCGCAUAUUCUGUGAGCAGGAAAGCAGGGGAUCGCAAGACCUUGCGCUGAUUGAGCGGCCGAUAUCAGAUUAGCUAGUUGGUGAGGUAAAGGCUCACCAAGGCGACGAUCUGUAGCGGAUCUGAGAGGAUGAUCCGCCACACUGGAACUGAGACACGGUCCAGACUCCUACGGGAGGCAGCAGUGGGGAAUUUUGGACAAUGGGCGCAAGCCUGAUCCAGCCAUGCCGCGUGAGUGAAGAAGGCCUGG